rnacentral:antisense_RNA from 1 species
AAUAACCAAAUACAAUACUUGGGCUAAGGGUGAAGUUGGUAAUUUUUCUUACAUCUCCCCCGCUUAGAGCCCAGGUAUCAUAUACACCCCCAAAAUAAAGAGCCUUGAAUACUAGAAAAAAAAGCACCUAUACCUAACAAGAUUAAGUGAAUUCCCAAAAUUAUAGUCAUUUUAUUUCUUUCCAUACA